rnacentral:tRNA from 1 species
GCAGACGUAGCUCAGUCGGUAGAGCACCGCGCCGGGAGGUACGUCGUUGGUUCAAGUCCAAUCGUCUGCACCA